GUCUAUAGUCAAAGUACCUUGAACACACCCUAUCUUGUCUGUUUUGGGAAGCUAAACAUGGUUGGUCCUGGAACUUAGACA
rnacentral:rRNA from 14 species